rnacentral:lncRNA from 1 species
GGAAAUCUCCCAGUAGGGUUUCAGUUAUGGGCCCAGUGAGACAUGAACAAACAAUCCCUUAGGAUUUCUAAUGCAAAAGAACAAAUAUAAAAAUAGAAGGCUGCCUUUCAUGUAGUCAGUACCAAGUUCUCCAACCAGAUUCUACACAGCAACUGGAGGACAGGGCCUCAGAUCAAGGAAGAAGUGGGAUUGGUUUGGAGGGAUCCUAUCUGGACUCAAGGAAAGUGACAAUACAAAUUAUGGGAUGGAUCUACAUCCUCGAGGUAUCCUUAUAAGAAGAAGCGUGAAACUUGGACACACUGAUAUACCCAAGGAUAAAGUUCACGUGAAGAUGGAGGCAGAGGCUGGAAUAUGUGGCUUCAAAGAACACUCCCGGCCAGCAAUCACCAGAAGCUGAGAAGAGCAAAGAAAGAUUCAUCCCUAGAACCUGGUGUUAUUUAUCUGCUCAUAAAUGCUGAUAGUCAAGAACAAAAUGAACGAGUCACAAGAUAUUGAAAACAAAAAUCCUUAGGAGCAGCUGAUCCUGGUGGGCCAGGAAGCUCAGAAUCAAAAUGGAUGCUCAGUUGGAACAUCCGCACUAGCCUGCCACAUUAGCACGUUUGCUACCACCUCUUUCUGCAGAUCCCAUUUGCAAUUUCUGGGUUUACACCAUCAGACUGAUUUUCUAUGUAAUCUUCGUUAUAAGCCUCUUCAGAUGUUUUUAAAAUGAAAUGAGGAAUACAUUAAUGAAUAAUCAAAUGAUUAUUUUCAUUGAGUUGGAAAGUCAUUUCACGUUUCAGAAUGGCUGUUAGUGACAGUUGACUUCUACCUAAAUGUAACUCAAUAUUACACAUUCUCAUCCUAUAAUAUGUAACUCAUACCUAAAAAAAAUAAUCAGUGGGCUCCAGAAUGCGCAGAAAAAUAUAUUCAGGAUUUUGCUUUUCCCCCCAGUACUGUCUAAGGUGGUUGUUUAGGUCUAGUGAGCCACCGAAAUUAAUUAUACCCGAAG